GCGAGCAUGGUCUAGAGGUUAUGACUGUAGGUUCCCAACCUGCCGACCCGGAUUCGAUUUCCGGUGCUCGCA
rnacentral:tRNA from 1 species